rnacentral:rRNA from 1 species
CCUACGGGAGGCAGCAGUGAGGAAUAUUGGUCAAUGGGCGCGAGCCUGAACCAGCAAAGUCGCGUGCGGGAAGACGGUCCUAUGGAUUGUAAACCUCUUUUGUCGGGGAGCAAAAGACGCCACGCGUGGCGUUCCGAGAGUACCCGACGAAAAAGCAUAGGCUAACUCUGUGCCAGCAGCCGCGGUACUCCGGAAGGUCCGAGCGUUAUCCGGAUUUAUUGGGUUUAAGGGGAGGGUAGGCCGCAUGACAAGCGUGCUGUGAAAUGUCCGGGCUCAACCCGGGCCUUGCAGCGCGAACUGGCGUGCUUGAGUCCGCUGAAAGCAGGCGGAAUUCGUCGUGUAGCGGUGAAAUGCGUAGAUAUGACGAAGAACCGCGAUUGCGAAGGCAGCUUGCUGCAGCGGAACUGACGCUGAUGCUCGAAAGCGCGGGUAUCGAACAGGAUUAGAUACCCUAGUAGUC